rnacentral:rRNA from 1 species
AGAAAGUAAGCAAGGGCAGACGGUGGAUGCCUUGGCUCUCGGAGGCGACGAAGGACGUGAUAAGCUGCGAAAAGCCCGGGGGAGGCGCAAAUAGCCGUUGAUCCCGGGAUAUCCGAAUGGGGCAACCCGGCAGGUUGAAGGCCUGUCAUCCCGAAAGGGAGGCGAACGUGGGGAACUGAAACAUCUAAGUACCCAUAGGAGGAGAAAAUAAACAAUGAUUCCGUAAGUAGUGGCGAGCGAACACGGAAGAGCCCAAACCCAUGUCGUCUAGGCGACACGGGGGUUGUAGGACCACGACGUGGCAAGAAGGAAGGGAAAUGGAACGACUUGGAAAAGUCGGCCAUAGACGGUGAAAGCCCGGUACAUGACUCCCUUACGAAGCCUAGUGGUAUCCUGAGUAGCGCGGGGCACGAGAAAUCUUGCGUGAAUUAGCGGGGCCCAUCCCGUAAGGCUAAAUACUCCCGAGAGACCGAUAGCGAACCAGUACCGUGAGGGAAAGGUGAAAAGAACCCCGAGCAGGGGAGUGAAAUAGACCCUGAACCCGUCUGCCUACAAGCGGUCGGAGCGUCGUAAUGACGUGACGGCGUGCCUUUUGCAUAAUGAACCUACGAGUUACCUUCCCCGGCAAGGUUAAGUACCUAAGGUACGGAGCCGAAGCGAAAGCGAGUCUGAACAGGGCGCCAAGUCGGGGGGGGUAGACGCGAAACCGAGUGAUCUACCCUUGGCCAGGUUGAAGGUUGGGUAACACCAACUGGAGGACCGGAUGGGUAAGCGUUGAAAAGCUUUCCAAUGAGCUGAGGGUAGGGGUGAAAGGCUAAUCAAACUCGGAGAUAGCUCGUACUCCCCGAAAUGCAUUUAGGUGCAGCCUCUUUAUAGUAUAUCGUGAGGUAGAGCGACUGAUUGGAUGCGAGGGCUUCACCGCCUAUCAAGUCCAGAUAAACUCCGAAUGCGCGAUAUAUAUUUACAGGGAGUGAGGGCGCGGGUGCUAAGGUCCGUGUCCGAGAGGAGAAGAAUCCAGACCACCGGCUAAGGCCCCCAAAUGAUCGUUAAGUUGAACUAACGAGGUCGGAUCGCAGAGACAGCUAGGAUGUUGGCUUGGAAGCAGCCAUUCAUUUAAAGAGUGCGUAACAGCUCACUAGUCGAGCGAUCUGGCGUGGAUAAUAAUCGGGCAUAAACGAUCUGCCGAAGCCGUGGAUGUCGCAAGACAUGGUAGGGGAGCAUUCCAUGCGGCGUCGAAGAUGAGGGAUGACCCUUGUUGGAGCGCAUGGAAAAGCAAAUGUAGGUAUGAGUAACGAUAAGGGGGGCGAGAAACCCCCCCGCCGAAAGACCAAGGUUUCCUGAUCAACGCUAAUCGGAUCAGGGUGAGUCGGGACCUAAGGCAAAGCCGAACGGCGCCGCCGAUGGAAGAAUGGGUUAAUAUUCCCAUACUGCCUCAUGGAGUGACGUGGAGACGGAGAAGUGACAGUCCUGCCGGCUGACGGAAUAGCCGGUUGAAGGGUGUAGAUAUUGAUUCCCGUAGGCAAAUCCGCGGGGAGAGUCGAACCUGAGAGUAUACGGAGCGCUUGCGCAACGUAAUAUGGACGUAACCAUGCUCCCGAGAAAAUCCGCUAAACUUAUCCAUGCGGCACCCGUACCGUAAACGGACACACGUGGUCGGGUUGAGAAUACUGAGGCGCUCGAGUGAUUCACGGUUAAGGAACUAGGCAAAUUGACCCUGUAACUUCGGGAUAAAGGGUCCUCGUCGUAAGGCGAGGCGCAGAGAAUAGGUCCAGGCAACUGUUUAACAAAAACACAUGGCUGUGCGAAAUGGAAACAUGAGGUAUACAGCCUGACACCUGCCCGGUGCCGGAAGGUUAAGAGGAGAUGUCAUCCGCGAGGAGAAGCGUUGAAUUGAAGCCCCGGUAAACGGCGGCCGUAACUAUAACGGUCCUAAGGUAGCGAAAUUCCUUGUCGGGUAAGUUCCGACCUGCACGAAUGGUGUAAUGAUCUGGACACUGUCUCAACCGUGAGCUCGGUGAAAUUGUAGUAUCGGUGAAGAUGCCGAUUACCCGCGAUGGGACGAAAAGACCCCGUGAACCUUUACUAUAGCUUUACAUUGAGUUUGGGCAGACGAUGUGUAGGAUAGGCCGGAGGCAUUGAAGCAGGUACGCCAGUAUUUGUGGAGCCGACGUUGAAAUACGGCCCUUCGGUUGUUUGAGUUCUAACUCCUAGUUAGGAGGACACUGUAUGGUGGGUAGUUUGACUGGGGUGGUCGCCUCCAAAAGCGUAACGGAGGCUUCUAAAGGUGCCCUCAGACCGAUUGGUAACCGGUCGCAGAGUGUAAUGGCAUAAGGGCGCUUGACUGGGAGACAUACAAGUCGAUCAGGUAGGAAACUAGAGCAUAGUGAUCCGGUGGUUCCGCAUGGAAGGGCCAUCGCUCAAAGGAUAAAAGGUACUCCGGGGAUAACAGGCUGAUCAUUCCCAAGAGCUCAUAUCGACGGAAUGGUUUGGCACCUCGAUGUCGGCUCGUCACAUCCUGGGGCUGGAGAAGGUCCCAAGGGUUGGGCUGUUCGCCCAUUAAAGUGGCACGCGAGCUGGGUUCAGAACGUCGUGAGACAGUUCGGUCUCUAUCUAUCGUGGGCGCAGGAGAUUUGCGAGGCUCUGACACUAGUACGAGAGGACCGUGUCGGACGUACCACUGGUUUACCGGUUGUCCCGCCAGGGGCACCGCCGGGUAUCUAAGUACGGAUCGGAUAAGUGCUGAAAGCAUCUAAGUACGAAGCCGGCCUCAAGAUUAGAUCUCCCUCAAGGGUGGUUAUAGACGAUGACCUUGAUAGGCCACAGGUGUAAGGGCGGCGACGUCCGAGCCGAGUGGUACUAAUAGCCCGGGACUUUCCUCA